AGUGGCGGACGGGUGAGUAACACGUAAGAAUUUGCCUUUAGGAGGGGGAUAACAACUGGAAACGGUUGCUAAUACCCCAUAUGCUUUCGAGUGAAAUGGAUUUCCGCCUAAAGAGAAGCUUGCGGCUGAUUAGCUUGUUGGUGAGGUAAUGGCUCACCAAGGCGACGAUCAGUAUCUGGUUUGAGAGGACGAUCAGACACACUGGAACUGAGACACGGUCCAGACUCCUACGGGAGGCAGCAGUGGGGAAUUUUCCGCAAUGGGCGAAAGCCUGACGGAGCAAUACCGCGUGAGGGAUGAAGGCCUAUGGGUUGUAAACCUCUUCUUUCAGGGAGGAACAAAAUGACGUGUACCUGAAGAAUAAGCAUCGGCUAACUCCAUGCCAGCAGCCGCGGUAAGACGGGGGAUGCAAGUGUUAUCCGGAAUCACUGGGCGUAAAGCGUCUGUAGGUGGUUAAGUAAGUCAACUGUUAAAUCUUGAGGCUUAACCUCAAAAUCGCAGUCGAAACUGCUUGACUAGAGUAUAGUAGGGGUAAAGGGAAUUUCCAGUGGAGCGGUGAAAUGCGUAGAUAUUGGAAAGAACACCGAUGGCGAAGGCACUUUACUGGGCUAUUACUAACACUGAGAGACGAAAGCUAGGGUAGCAAAUGGGAUUAGAUACCCCAGUAGUCCUAGCUGUAAACAAUGGAUACUAGAUGUUG
rnacentral:rRNA from 1 species